CUCUGGCUGAGAGGAAAAAUGUCUCGUUGAAUGACUCAAGAGGCCCAGAUUCUGCUAUGAAUCCUUUAUAGUAAAAUCUGGCUCCUACUAUUUUUCUGCAAAUAGGGAUCAGAAUGCAUCAUCAACAAUCUAGAAGAAAACUUUUGACAGAGUGAAGUUUUCACCAGUUGAGCAUACACCCUUGAAUUUGGCGGGCACGGGACCAAGCCCGUAAUCAUUGAAGCUCUUAGAUUCGGGCCAUACUCCUAAACGUAAGAUUAUUCAUGUUUUUUUUUCUAUAGUUAGUUAAUAUAUAAACAGAAUUUCUAGGGGAGAGAGUUCAAAGGAUGUGUUGCUAGAAACGUCUACCCGAAUCAAUAACUCCAAUGAUCGUGUCAGAUGUUGAAUCCAUCAAUGCUUGAUGGCUUUUUUCCAAGUUGCUUAUACCCAAAAAAUCCCACGAGUGUGUUGUGUGGAUGUGGUUUGUCUUGCUCUCAAACACAGAUACUACUGAAUCACUCACUGCAGUCAAGGGAAACAAUUGUCAGUUUUAUCUGUGGUUUAUUUCAUGAUUUGGUUUAGCAAAUUCGAUAUCUCAGCAAGUUGAGAUAUGCACAGAAAGAAUUGCAUGUGUAGAGAACAGAAAGAAAAACUGCAAGUUCACGGCUGUUCAGUGUGUGGCUGCAUGUGUGUUUUGUGUAUCUGAUUUGCACAUUUAAGAACACACGGAUGAUUCUUUGUAACGAUUAUUGCAUUUAGAAUCAGACGAACCUUGGAGUUCUCUUGCUUGAUCCAAGGUGAGCAUUGCAGAGAAACCUCUGAAGGUUUUCGUAUAAUGGUGGACCGCUGCACCCUGUGCCCCCUCAUGACUGAAAAACCAAUCAGGAAAAGAAAUGUUUAAUCCAGUAUACAGUGAGCUUCUGAUCCACAUUUCUCGACUUCUGCUCACAGGUGGAAGAAGCUCAAGCAGCAUGGACUGCAGUCAAAAAACUGAUGGUGCAAAGCAUACCUUCCCAUUACUGAGAAAACAAAAGUUUACAGAUUGGUGAAGGACCAAUUCUGGUUUUGCUGCUUCAAAUCACAUCACAGAGAGAGCGAGAGAGUCGGAACCAAAUAAAAUAUUGGUUUCAAUGGCGAUAAGAGCACAGUCUCAUCUCCAUCACAUUAGAUAUUCCAGAAAUCACGUUUGCUGCUAGAAUGAUAUCAACUGCACCAGAAAAAAGAAAAUGCCACCUGCAGCUUUUGCUCAAUC